GGGCCUUUAGCUCAGUUGGCUAGAGCACCUGCUUUGCAAGCAGGGGGUCGAGGGUUCGAAUCCCUCAAGGUCCACCA
rnacentral:tRNA from 4 species